CGCACGGGGUCUAAAUUUCCUUCCCAGGUGUAGGAAAUUGCUAUCUUUGACCGACCUCUCCGCUUACUUCAGGGAGGAUCUCUUUUUUGCAAAACGUAAGCUGAAAACCAAUGGAUGAGGUUUGAAGAGUGUGUUCACUUUUUGAUCUCUCUAGGAUUAAGUCAGUAAGCCUUAGAUUUCAUGUCCUUCCUGAUGGACUCUGAAGUUACGGUUGCCUUGGUAAAGUAUCUCUUCACAGCAAUAGAACAGUGACUACUAAGACAGACCCACUUGCUCUUCAAAUAAUCAGAGAGUUUCUGAAAUUUCCUUAAUUUUCACUUACAUCAAUGUUUCUUUGAACUCCCUUGGGAACUCUUCAGUAACUACUCGUAAAGCUUUGACUAUGGCGUGAAUUACCAUUGCCUCAACUGAACAUUUGUACCAACAAGUCAAACCAGUCUCCCUUCCUGCCUUCCUCCCCACCCCAAAACAUGUUUUAUAAGGAAAAAGCAAAGCCUGCUCCAUCCCCACUCUGUGGAUACCAGCAGCAUUAACUCCAUCUUCAAUAUAUCUGACAUCACCUGGGACCCCUACAUCCCAGCUCUGCUAUUCACUCAGCCACCGGCAGCACUGUCACCAGCGCCCCCCCACCCCCCAGAAUCCCACCAUCGCCAUCAAGCACAUGGAGGUGAACAGGAGGACAUGGACGAGAAGUGGCUGAACACUGUUCUUCCCAGGAAUGACAUCCUUUGUCCUCGAUUGAAUUUUGUGG